UAUGGCCAAACCGCCCUGAGUGUGAGUGAUCACAUCUGAUCCCAGAAUCUAAGCAGGGUCAGGCUUGGGUGGGAGAAUACAGGGAGAGACUACAGCGCAGGGAUAC
rnacentral:rRNA from 1 species